GACCUCGUAGCUCAUGUGGUUCGAGCAUUGGCUGUACUAAAGCCUUCCCCCUUGCUGUUGUGGGUUCGAAUCCCACCGAGGUGA
rnacentral:tRNA from 1 species